ACUUAAUAUUCCGAGUGUGGUGCUGUUAAGAGCAUGCGGGAGCCCUGGGAAAGAAUGCUACAAUGUGUGGUGUCUGUGUGUCUGUAAGUGGAUACCACUCCCUUUCGUGAUCAGAAAAUGAUCUAACAUUCACGUCGUCUGUCUAGCUUUCACUGGAGUACCCCUGCGGUCUGUGGACCAAAACAGGAAUUCAUUAAUACAGAAGACUUAAGCAAGUCUUGGUAUUGGAGAUAUUAUUCCACCUCCUUACAGCCUUUCUCUGCUUCGUGGAGAAAUCUGUACAGGAGGAAUGGGAUAAUGGAUACCUGCCUCUACAAUCAAGCUUUUAGGUCAGUUCUAGGAAUUGAACUACAAACAACAGUAACAACAGACACCACUCGUGAGAACAUGCCAACCCUGGAGGUCGUCAUGUCUUGCCUGGAGAUCGUCUUGCCAGUCACGCAUCACAAUGAGAUGACUGUCUGAUGUUCUCUGAGGCCUUAGCAGUUGUGGCUAUUUUGGUUGAUAAAGACUGUGGCUUUGUUUAGUUAUUAAGAGCUGUAAUAAUCUUGGCAAGUUUUCUGAAAUCCCUUUUGACACCCCUCAGACACUUUCAGUGGGGUACCACAUGACCUCAGUAUUCUUAGUGCAAAAUACAUUUGCCCAUCCCACAGUUUAUGGGUAUCUGGAUUUGGCAAAAUGAUUAUGAUUUCUAUGCAUUUAUGUGACAUAUUUUCUUUUAUUAUUAUCUUUAAUUGAAAAUUCCUACCAUGUAAUCUGAUUAUGGUUUUCCCUCCCCCAUCUCCCGAACCAUCUGACUCUCCCCCAUCUCUCUCUCCCUCCCUUUGUUUUUCUCUAGAAAACAAACCAGAAUAAGGACAGACAGACAGAAAUAUGGAAGGAAAGAAAAACAUUGACAGAACACAAGAAACACACACAUACAAACAAAAUCCACAAAAACACGGAAUCAGAAGAUAUAAUAUGCAAGAAAAAGACAACUAAGAUAAAAGGUGCCCUAACAAAGCAAUAUGGAACGAACAAACAAACAAACAACAAAUAAAAAAUCAAGUUUUGUGUUUGUGUGUUCGCCAUCUACUCCUGAGCAUGGGGUGGGGGUGCCCUUAAAUGUGCCUUAUAUAUCUAGUGAGACUCCAUUGAAGAAAAUGAAUUGUUAUCGAUCACUUCUGGGUUAGAUCCAUUUCCCUUCUCACUAUUGGACUCUGUCUAGCUUGAAGCUGUGCAGACCCUAUGCAUGCCUCCAUGCAUUAUUCUGUGUGUCCAUGGCUUUUUCCUUUCAACUAUCAGGUGACAGUCCAUUGUAUGAAUGCAGCAUAGUUUCCAGUGUUCAUUCACUUUUUCUUUUUUAAGCUGGUAGACAAAAACAAAUUGUGCCCAUUACUUGGGUACCGUGAGUUAUCUGAUACAUGUGCAUAUUGUGCUGGGAUCAAAUGACAUUAAGGAAAUGUAUCUCAUUAAACAGCCAUUACUUCCUUAUGGAGAAAGCAUUUG